UACGAAGGGGGCUAGCGUUGCUCGGAAUCACUGGGCGUAAAGGGUGCGUAGGCGGGUCUUUAAGUCAGGGGUGAAAUCCUGGAGCUCAACUCCAGAACUGCCUUUGAUACUGAAGAUCUUGAGUUCGGGAGAGGUGAGUGGAACUGCGAGUGUAGAGGUGAAAUUCGUAGAUAUUCGCAAGAACACCAGUGGCGAAGGCGGCUCACUGGCCCGAUACUGACGCUGAUGCGCGAAAGCUAGGGGAGCAAACAGG
rnacentral:rRNA from 1 species